AUGAGGGGUGUAGCGAUCACAGAGCCUCCCGUGUCUCCCGUGGCCCCUCGCACACAGCGCCCCACAGCAGCGUCUCAUUUGCUCCUCGUAAGAGCCCGCGGCGAGGGGGCCGUUCUUGUCCCCAGUCAACAGCAGAGGGAACCGAGGCCCAGAGAGGGCAGGCUGUUCACCCGAGACCACACAGCCGGGCCGCAGAGCAGCAGGUCCCGAGGCCGGAGCCUGCAUUCCCAGGCAGCCGCCUCCUCUCCCAGGAAGCCCCCCUCCCCCAUUGCCCCUCCCAGCCCCACCCCGUAUCACGUGGAUACCAGACUGAAACUGGGUUUAUGGCCCCUGGUGCCACACAUCUGCUUCCUUGGCACUGGCCUCCUGCCCUCGGGCAAAGGCCCGUUGGAAGAGCUAAGGCUCAGAGCAAGGUCACCCAGCAAGGAGGGUCCUCCCGGGGCCCUGGCUGGGCAGACGCCCCAACACCUUGAGACACCCAGACUCCGCCCCAGCCGCACGGGUUCCCAGCCAGCCCCCUCACAGGGCCACCCCCCAUACCCCCACAUGCCCCCACCAGACCCUGAACCCCAGCUGGGCCCGGGGCGGGGUGGGGGGGGACUGAGGCACCUCCCUCCCUGCGCCCCGCGGAUCCCACAGGUGAGCACAGGCUACGGACUGACGCGUGAACGCCCGUCCCAGACACAAAGCCCAGUCUACACGGGACCCCCACCCUGCCCCCACGCCGGGUCCCGACUCACAUGCUGCCCCUGGGCCCCCGCAGCCUCUGGGCCUGGCUCUGGUGCUGUCGACAGGACAGAGACCGGAAUCCCGAUGCCCUGCCCACGGGUUGCCAGGGGACAGGGCCCCGCCUGGGGAAGCAGGGGCACCCCCUCCCCCCCGGCCCCACCCGGGCCCGGGAAACAAAGUCCAGAGGAGGAGGGAGAAAGACGAUACCCAGGCAGGGAGGACGGCCGGCGCCACGCCCACUGCCUGCCGGCCCCCGGCCCCCAGGCCUCCAGCCCCGCGGAGCCGGGACUCACUGGAAAGCACCUUCCAGCUGCUCUCAGGCCCUCCGGCACCCCAGAGAGGGGGCACCACGCCCAGAGUCACGCAGUAGGUCCUGGGCCAGCCCCCACCCCAUGCUCCAGGCUCAGAACACCCUUUGGGGCUCCUACCCCAGAGAGCCCCUUUCUGGGGCUCACCCAGCCUGCUAGCCUCUGCGGGGGGUUUCGCUGGGCCGGGGUUCAGAUUCCACUUAGCCUCUCUGAGCCUGUCCCCUCCUCUGAAAUGGGCAUACGUCACAGAGCAGGGAGGAUGCCCCGGCCAUUUCUACAUGAAGGACCCAGAGUGCCGGAAAACAUUGGCAGGGUGGGCAAGGCCCAGGCCCCCCUGACGGAUGGGGGCCCCAAGGCUCAGCAUGGGCAGCGGGGCCUGCCGGGCGCUCAGUCAUCCAGCCUGAUUCUCGGCCAAGGUGCAAGGAACUUGCCGGGGCCGCGGGACCCCGGCGUCUCUGUGGGCCUGGACCUAUCGGCCUGGCGGUCAGUCUACAGGGCAGGGACACAGUGGACGGGGCUUUAA
rnacentral:lncRNA from 1 species